rfam:Heterocephalus glaber contig98756, whole genome shotgun sequence.
GUCUAUGGCCAUACCACCCUGCCCUGAACAUGCCAGAUCUCUUCUGAUCUCAAAAGCUAAGCAGGGUCAGGCCUGGUUAGUAUCUGAAUGGGAAACCACCACAUAGGACACUAUUUGCCUCAGUAU